CUGUGCUAAGUCCCAAAGAUACAAAGAAAGGCAAAAGCCAGUCUCUGCCCUUGAGAAGCUCACAAUCCAAUGAGGUAGGGGGCCAACAUGUGAACAAGUAAGUACAAACAAACUCAAUGUAGAAUGAAUAGGAAAUUAUUAAUGUGAGGGAAGCCAGGGAGGUCAGUCGUGGGAGCAGAGGAGGGAGAGCGUUCCAGGCCCAGAGCCCAGAGAUGGAGGGGAUGGAACACCCAGGAGGCCAGAGUCACUGGAUGGAAGGGGACCAGGGUGGGGGAGUGAGGUCCGGCAAGACUGGAAAGGGAGGAGGGGGCGGGGCAUGAAGGGCAUUGAACGCCAAGGAGACCAUCUUGUAUUUGCUCCUGGAGGCCCUAGGGAGCCACUGGGGUUUAUUGAGUAAGAGAGUGACCUGGUCAUAUUAGCACUUUGGUGGCUGAAUGGAGGAUGGAUGAGUAGGGAGAGCCUUCAGCAGGCCAUUAGGUCAGACAUAAGGUAAAGAGGGCCUGCACCAGGGGUGGGGGGCAGUGUCAGAGGAGAGAAGGGGGGCAUAUUCGAGAGAUGCUACAAAGGUGAGAUGGUCAGGCCUUGGUGAAGGAUUGGAUGGGGGGGGGGUUAGAGAGGAUGAGGAGUCCAGAAUGAUUCCUGGAGUGGGAGCCUGAGGGCCUAUGAGGAUGAGAGCAUGGGGCCAAGGGACACCUCACACAUCCUAGUUGUUGCAAUUCCUUUUCUCCCAUUGUGUCUCUGCUUCAUGAGCAGUUUCUCAGGCCCUUCUAGAGCCAGUCGUGUAUUGCUGUAUGGAGAAUGAUCUUCUCAGGGGGCUGCUAGCCUCAGAGGAGGUGGAACCAAGUGACCUGUGCUUGGGAAAGAAGUCAGACCGCUGCCUUCAUGGACACAGGUGCCGCUCCAGCCUCUUGGGGAAAUGACCCAGAUGCCCUCAGUGAGCUCUCUUCAUUCAUGAAGAUUACACCUCCUGGCAGGCUUUCAUUCUUAGGCUAUUGAGGAGAAAGAGUGAGCCAUGAAGCUUGCUGGGAAAAGACCUCACCAGAUGCCCUGGGCCCUGACCUUCAACCUUAGAUCCACAGGGGACCAAAGAUGUCCCAGGUGAUGUCUUGACUUGUGCAUGAAUUGGAUGGAAGUGAGGCCAGGCUGCAUGACGUCAGCAGCCUCACUCUCUCUUCCUGGGUCACUGGAAGUCCAGUGGCGGGACAAAAAUCAGGACUGGUGAUGGCCCGGGAUUCAGGGGAUGACCUUGGUGUCCUCGACGUCCACCCAAGCUCCAAGCACUCUACGGCGCCUGCUUCGGCUGCCUUCACGGACGUUGGAACAAGUUGUUCUCAUCCACUCAUUCCACCCGAGCAAGACUUCACAUCCAUGGGAUCCUGACCAUCCAGUAUGAUCCCAGCCAUCCUGACUGAACAGCUCUGACAUGGCUCCUCAGCUUGGAACUUGGAGCCCUCCAUAAUCUGGCUCCCAUCUUACUGCUCCCUUGUAGCAGUCCUUGCUUACAAGCUCUUCCUCAAGGUUUGCCUCAGAUGCCACCUCCUAUGAGUAGCAUUCUCUGAGACCUCCCCCCAGAUGUUUGUGCGGCUGCAGUUAAGACCACUUUUGCUCCUUAUCAGCUGUGUGACCUUGGCUCAUUUUACGGAGGAGGAAACUGAGGCAGAGGUGAAGUG